rnacentral:tRNA from 1 species
AUUAUUCCCGGGGAAUAAAAUUUACAGUUUUACUCCGUACAGAAUUUAUCUUUGCUC